UACGAAGGGGGCUAGCGUUGCUCGGAAUCACUGGGCGUAAAGGGUGCGUAGGCGGGUCUUUAAGUCAGGGGUGAAAUCCUGGAGCUCAACUCCAGAACUGCCUUUGAUACUGAAGAUCUUGAGUUCGGGAGAGGUGAGUGGAACUGCGAGUGUAGAGGUGAAAUCGUAGAUAUUGGGAAGAACACCAGUGGCGAAGGCGGCUCACUGGCCCGUAACUGACGCUGAGGUGCGAAAGCGUGGGGAGCAAACAGG
rnacentral:rRNA from 1 species